rnacentral:lncRNA from 1 species
UUUUUUGAGAGUUAAUGAAUUCCUUAAUUGUGUUCUCAAUAUCAUAGGGUAUCGUAUUAGAAUUUGUAGAAGAAUUUCCGUAAGUAUUACCAUAAGAAUUUCCAUAGUUGUUGGAAGAAUUACUGGGAUACGACAUAGGAUUGAAAUUACCUCUAUAAGCAUUGUUGUUAAAAUUAUUUCGAGAGAAAAAGUUAACAUCAAUAGCAUCAUCAUUUUAUUAAAUAAAGGUAGGCAAAGGAAUAUCAUUGGGAUCAACAUGAGCAUUUUUAUUGGCAACCAAGUUCAUAAGAGCAUCAAAUUUUUCACUCAAAGUAGCGAUUUCCUCAACAAAAUAUACCUUCUUACCUCUUGGAGCUCGUUCGGUAUGCCUUUGAGAAUAGUUGACCAUGAUGUUAUCCAGAAUUUUAGUAGCCUCAUUGGCCUCGUCCUCGUUGACCUACAACCCAU